CCCCUCUCAGGGUCACACCUGGAGAGUUUCCAGGACUGUACCAGUCUUGGCUAUGGGAGGGAGAGUCAAGCAGAGGCCUACCCAUUCGAUUCUUGGUUUGGACAGUGGCUAGUGAGUGGAAAGCAAUCUGCCACAAGU